rnacentral:rRNA from 1 species
GUUGUAUGGUUAAGUGACUAAGCGUACAUGGUGGAUGCCUUGGCAGUCAGAGGCGAUGAAGGACGUACUAACCUGCGAUAAGCUGUGAGAAGUCGGUAAGAGACGCUAUUACUCACAGAUUUCCGAAUGGGGAAACCCACCCGAGAUAACUCGGGUAUCUGUUACUGAAUACAUAGGUAACAGGGCGAACCGGGAGAACUGAAACAUCUAAGUACCCCGAGGAAAAGAAAUCAACCGAGAUUCCCUCAGUAGCGGCGAGCGAACGGGGAUUAGCCCUUAAGCAUCUUGGAAGUUAGUGGAACGGUCCUGGAAAGGCCGGCGAUACAGGGUGAUAGCCCCGUACACGAAAACAACCUUGAUGUGAAAUCGAGUAGGGCGGGACACGUGACAUCCUGUCUGAAUAUGGGGGGACCAUCCUCCAAGGCUAAAUACUCCUGACUGACCGAUAGUGAACCAGUACCGUGAGGGAAAGGCGAAAAGAACCCCUGUGAGGGGAGUGAAAUAGAACCUGAAACCGUGUACGUACAAGCAGUGGGAGCCCUUCGGGGUGACUGCGUACCUUUGUAUAAUGGGUCAGCGACUUACAUUUUGUAGCGAGGUUAACCGUAUAGGGAGCCGUAGGGAAACCGAGUCUUAACUGGGCGUCUAGUUGCAAGGUGUAGACCCGAAACCGGGUGAUCUAGCCAUGGGCAGGUUGAAGGUUGAGUAACAUCAACUGGAGGACCGAACCCACUAACGUUGCAAAGUUAGGGGAUGACCUGUGGCUGGGGGUGAAAGGCCAAUCAAACUCGGAGAUAGCUGGUUCUCCCCGAAAGCUAUUUAGGUAGCGCCUCGGACGAAUACUACUGGGGGUAGAGCACUGUUUGGGCUAGGGGGUCAUCCCGACUUACCAACCCCAUGCAAACUCCGAAUACCAGUAAGUAAUAUCCGGGAGACACACGGCGGGUGCUAACGUCCGUCGUGAAGAGGGAAACAACCCAGACCGCCGGCUAAGGUCCCAAAGUUCUGGUUAAGUGGGAAACGAUGUGGGAAGGCUCAGACAGCUAGGAUGUUGGCUUAGAAGCAGCCAUCAUUUAAAGAAAGCGUAAUAGCUCACUAGUCGAGUCGGCCUGCGCGGAAGAUGUAACGGGGCUCAAACCAGGCACCGAAGCCGCGGAUUUGCACUUAGUGCAAGUGGUAGGGGAGCGUUCUGUAAGUCUGCGAAGGUGUAUCGAGAGGUAUGCUGGAGAUAUCAGAAGUGCGAAUGCUGACGUAAGUAACGAUAAAGGGGGUGAAAAGCCUCCUCGCCGGAAGACCAAGGGUUCCUGUCCAACGUUAAUCGGGGCAGGGUGAGUCGACCCCUAAGGCGAGGCCGAAAGGCGUAGUCGAUGGGAAGCAGGUUAAUAUUCCUGCACGACUUGUAAUUGCGAUGGGGGGACGGAGAAGGCUAGGUGGGCCAGGCGACGGUUGUCCUGGUGAAAGUGCGUAGGUGGUGUUUCUAGGCAAAUCCGGAGACACAACACUGAGACACGAGACGAACACACUACGGUGUGGAAGCCAUUGAUGCCCUGCUUCCAGGAAAAGCCUCUAAGCUUCAGAUUACAAGUCAUCGUACCCCAAACCGACACAGGUGGUCGGGUAGAGAAUACCAAGGCGCUUGAGAGAACUCGGGUGAAGGAACUAGGCAAAAUAGAACCGUAACUUCGGGAGAAGGUUCGCUCCUGACAGUGAAGUCCCUUGCGGAUGGAGCAGUUGGGAGUCGCAGUGACCAGAUGGCUGGGACUGUUUAUCAAAAACACAGCACUCUGCAAACACGAAAGUGGACGUAUAGGGUGUGACACCUGCCCGGUGCCGGAAGGUUAAUUGAUGGGGUUAGCGCAAGCGAAGCUCUUGAUCGAAGCCCCGGUAAACGGCGGCCGUAACUAUAACGGUCCUAAGGUAGCGAAAUUCCUUGUCGGGUAAGUUCCGACCUGCACGAAUGGUGUAACCAUGGCCAUGCUGUCUCCACCCGAGACUCAGUGAAAUCGAAUUCGCCGUGAAGAUGCGGUGUACCCGCGGCUAGACGGAAAGACCCCGUGAACCUUUACUACAGCUUGGCACUGAACAUUGAACCUACAUGUGUAGGAUAGGUGGGAGGCUUUGAAGGCGUGACGCCAGUUGCGCUGGAGCCGUCCUUGAAAUACCACCCUUGUAUGUUUGAUGUUCUAACGCAGGGCCCUGAAUCGGGCUCGCGGACAGUGCCUGGUGGGUAGUUUGACUGGGGCGGUCUCCUCCCAAAGAGUAACGGAGGAGCACGAAGGUUGGCUAAUCCUGGUCGGACAUCAGGAGGUUAGUGCAAUGGCAUAAGCCAGCUUAACUGCGAGACGGACAGGUCGAGCAGGUACGAAAGUAGGUCAUAGUGAUCCGGUGGUUCUGAAUGGAAGGGCCAUCGCUCAACGGAUAAAAGGUACUCCGGGGAUAACAGGCUGAUACCGCCCAAGAGUUCAUAUCGACGGCGGUGUUUGGCACCUCGAUGUCGGCUCAUCACAUCCUGGGGCUGAAGUCGGUCCCAAGGGUAUGGCUGUUCGCCAUUUAAAGUGGUACGCGAGCUGGGUUCAGAACGUCGUGAGACAGUUCGGUCCCUAUCUGCCGUGGGCGUUGGAUGAUUGAAGGAGUUGCUCCUAGUACGAGAGGACCGGAGUGAACGAACCUCUGGUGUUCGGGUUGUCACGCCAGUGGCACUGCCCGGUAGCUAAGUUCGGAAUCGAUAACCGCUGAAAGCAUCUAAGCGGGAAGCGAGCCCUGAGAUGAGUCAUCCCUGACCCCUUGAGGGUCCUAAAGGGCCGUUGGAGACCACAACGUUGAUAGGUGGGGUGUGUAAGCGCGGUGACGUGUUGAGCUAACCCAUACUAAUUACCCGUGAGGCUUAACCAUACAACACCCAAGAAGUGUUCU